rnacentral:rRNA from 1 species
AUUGAACGCUGGCGGCAUGCUUUACACAUGCAAGUCGAACGGCAGCGCGGGCUUCGGCCUGGCGGCGAGUGGCGAACGGGUGAGUAAUACAUCGGAACGUGCCCAGUAGUGGGGGAUAGCUCGGCGAAAGCCGGAUUAAUACCGCAUACGACCUGAGGGUGAAAGCGGGGGAUCUUCGGACCUCGCGCUAUUGGAGCGGCCGAUGGCAGAUUAGCUAGUUGGUGGGGUAAAGGCCUACCAAGGCGACGAUCUGUAGCUGGUCUGAGAGGACGACCAGCCACACUGGGACUGAGACACGGCCCAGACUCCUACGGGAGGCAGCAGUGGGGAAUUUUAGACAAUGGGCGAAAGCCUGAUCCAGCAAUGCCGCGUGUGUGAUGAAGGCCUUCGGGUUGUAAAGCACUUUUGGCGGGAACGAAAAGGACUGUGCCAAUACCACGGUUCGAUGACGGUACCCGCAGAAUAAGCACCGGCUAACUACGUG